UGUAACACGAGAAACCACUCUUCUGUGUCAAAUCCACCAUCAAUUUUGCAGUGGCUUGCUGCCAUUAACACACUCCAGGUGUUAGAUUAUGAGAGAUUGGCAAAAAUGAUAUCAUAAAUACAUCACGUGACAAAAGGAAUGGAUACUAAGGGAUAGGAACCUGUGCCCUUAAUUCUUGUAAGUCCUUAUGGUCAAAUUCAAACAGGG
rnacentral:lncRNA from 1 species